GAGGCACCAGUCAGCUGCCAAUGGGACUGCUUCUGGUGGGAACUUAGUGAUGAGGUCAUGACAUGGAUAUAUAAGGUACCUUCUUCCUUGAAGCGGGGAAAACAAGUUUUGGGUGCACAGGCAGCUAGCCAUGCAGCCUCUAGAGCAGGCUCAGUCAGCUCCUGGAUGGAAUUGAUUUUCUUCCAUUAAGACCUUCUGAGUUAUGGCCACCUUGUUUAGCUCUGAGCACUCUCAACUUCAGUACUUCGCAAGUGCAGCUCUUCUGGAUGGUCAUCUAGAUAGCUCUUCAAAGGACAUGUUUUUACUACCUGCCUACUGACCAAAGGACCACCCCUAAGUUGUGCUUCGGGAGGUUGAGAUGAGAAGAACUCCUUUUUUAAUGUUUUAUGUGGACUGCUGGAGAGCCUCUUCAUACUGCUUUUCAACUGUUGGGCACCAAAGAAAAGUCAAAUUUACCAAUCAAAAAAUGUUGAUCAGAAGCCGUUCUAUAUACAACAGAUAAAUCGGAGAAUAUUGGAGAGAACACAGUAGGCUCCUGGUUCAUCUUUUCCUGUUGGCUUUCCUCAAAAAAUGUAAG